AUUGCAACUUUUAGCAGUGGAUGUCUAGGCUCGCACAUCGAUUAAGAACGCUGCGAACUGCGAUACGUAAUGGCGAAUUGGAGGAUUCCGUGAGUCCUCGAAAUUUUGAACGCCUAUUGCACUUCCGGGUUAGUCCUGGGAGUAUGCCUGUAUCAGUGUCCGUACCUCAAACUU
rnacentral:rRNA from 1 species